CGGGGAGUAGCGCAGUUUGGCUAGCGCGUUUGAAUGGGGUUCAAAAGGUCGUGGGUUCGAGUCCCACCUCCCCGA
rnacentral:tRNA from 1 species